CUUGCGCCGGCGACGGUUCAUUCAAAUUUCUGCCCUAUCAACUUUCGAUGGUAAGGUAUUGGCUUACCAUGGUUUCAACGGGUAACGGGGAAUUAGGGUUCGAUUCCGGAGAGGGAGCCUGAGAAACGGCUACCACAUCCAAGGAAGGCAGCAGGCGCGCAAAUUACCCAAUCCCGACACGGGGAGGUAGUGACAAUAAAUACUGAUACAGGGCUCUUUUGGGUCUUGUAAUUGGAAUGAGUACAAUUUAAACCUCUUAACGAGGAACAAUUGGAGGGCAAGUCUGGUGCCAGCAGCCGCGGUAAUUCCAGCUCCAAUAGCGUAUAUUAAAGUUGUUGCAGUUAAAAAGCUCGUAGUUGAAACUUGGGUCUGGCUGGCAGGUCCGCCUCACCGCGUGUACUUGUCCGGCCGGGCCUUCCUUCUGGAGAACCUCAUGCCCUUCACUGGGCGUGUUGGGGACCAGGACUUUUACUUUGAAAAAAUUAGAGUGUUCAAAGCAGGCCUUUGCUCGAAUACGUUAGCAUGGAAUAAUAGAAUAGGACGUGCGGUCCUAUUUUGUUGGUUUCUAGGACCGCCGUAAUGAUUAAUAGGGACAGUCGGGGGCAUCAGUAUUCAAUUGUCAGAGGUGAAAUUCUUGGAUUUAUUGAAGACUAACUACUGCGAAAGCAUUUGCCAAGGAUGUUUUCAUUAAUCAGUGAACGAAAGUUAGGGGAUCGAAGACGAUCAGAUACCGUCGUAGUCUUAACCGUAAACUAUGCCGACUAGGGAUCGGGCGAUGUUCUUUUUCUGACUCGCUCGGCACCUUACGAGAAAUCAAA
rnacentral:rRNA from 1 species